rnacentral:lncRNA from 1 species
CUACCUUUAUCACCCGGUAUAUUUAAUUUUUUUCCUAUUCACAAUUUAAUAAAUUGAACUAAUUAUUAUAAAUAUAAACAACCUAAAUUAUUUAUUUUCAGCCUAGAUUUACAAUUUAGACAAUCAACCUAUGUACAUGCUCCUAACCAAUCACUUGUAUUUCUAUAAGCUCAAGCUCAAGCACAUAGAAAACACACAACAGAAAAGAGAAAUAAAAUUAAAAAAAACCAAAAUUUAAAAAAAAUUUAAAAAAAUUAUGUCACCCCCACACUUUAGUCAACACAUUGUCUCUAAUGUGCAAAUAAUAAAUAAAGG